CCUCCAAGCUAACAACACUUCAUACGCAGAGAUUAAUUUGUCACUAAUAUUGAUUGUCGGAGGCCUGUCUCAUUCUAGUUAAGACGCCACGAGGCACCAACAGCGGCCACUUGUGCUUGAUUUUUUUUCCUUCUAAAACGUCCAGGAUGUUGAGGAGGCAACUCCAGGAGGUGCCAGCCCCAAGUUCUGUCAAACUGGAUCCAGCAGGGCUGCCCCCGCCGAGGGCAAGGAUUAUCCGAAUAUGAAGGCAGCUGAAAGCCCACCUUCUCCAGUUUCCCGCGGCGUGGAGACGGCUCGGUGACAUCCAACCGUCCAGGAAGUGCCUUUGCAAGAGUGGGCGCAAAGAAAGGACGGAACACAGGAGAGGUGUGCAGAACUCACUUUCAUCAGAGGAUCGGCUUUCAGGCCGGUUCGGGAGUCCAGAGCGUUAUUGUAUUACACACGGCAGGGAAAUGCGCCUUGCUCUGCUUCCUUCUCCCCCACCCCUCGCCUUUCUUUUCUUUGACUGUUUUCGAAAUAAAAGAGUGUUUUCUUCCAAA